GCGGGGGUAUCCGAGCCAGGUCAAAGGAAAAAUUUUCAUAAUCUUUCGACCAAUACGGUUUUGUUCUGCCUUAUGCGAUUCAAGUGGGCUAAACUCCGUGACCAAAGGAGCAGGACUUAAGAUCCUGUCGCGUAGGCGUACGAGAGUUCGAAUCUCUUCCCCCGCA
rnacentral:tRNA from 1 species